rnacentral:lncRNA from 1 species
AGCAUCGAUGACUUGGAGGGCCCAACGAAGUCAUCCUUAAGACCUAAAGGGCUCGAGAUUGUUUCUCACUCACGUCAUUGGGCGACGGGCAACAGCUUCACCAUGGGUUCAACUUCAUCGAUGGCCCUUUCAUGUCGGUCGAGAGGGAGGGGGAGAAGGCCACCGUCGAAGGGGUAUGGAGGAGGAGGUCGUGCAGUGACGGUUAUCGGAGAGGG